AGUUUGGAGGAAGCAUUGACCGUUUCCUAACCGGCACUCAAACUGGAGGAUACGGCGGCGGAGGUGGUUACAUGACGUGCGACUGCCUCUCCGGGAUCGUCGGAGCCCUCGCUGGAUUCGCCGCUCUUGGAGCUCUUCUAGCCUUCGCCAUAAUCCAGGCUCUGAAUAAUACAACAACCACGGCAGCGCCGGCUGCUACAGGAGGAGGAGGAGGAACGGGAGGAACGGGAGGAAGGAGGAGGAAGAGGAGGGCGUCCUCCGAGGAUGAGGGAGUGGAGGAGGAGGAUGAAGACUGGUGGUGGAGCAUGGAAGCUCUUGUCGGAUGGGAUGGCUGGCAACUGAUUGAACUCCAGCGAGGCGCAGGGUUCGUACCGCGUCUUCUUCGACUUCUGGCGGAGGACCAGCCUUCUUGCCUUCCAGCGAGGAUGUGUCAGCUGAACGAGGCGGCUCAGAGGGUCGGCGAGCCUCAGGCAACGUUUGUGCAGCUGGCAAGUUUACCACUGUCAUACUUCUUAUCUUCGAGUACGGUGGACAAUCUACCAGCAUUCUGCGAGGGAAUAACCACAUCGAGACAACGGGGACAGUGUCGCCACCUAUAUCAGAGCUGCCAGAUUUGAUCACAUGAGAACCCGGCCACAGUGAUCGAACGUGCGACGCUCGUCAGUUGUGAUGCAGCGUUGGACGGUGGGAACAGAGCUGCGAAGCAGCAAUACCUACUGGUACAGUGAUCCUCGGGAUCCUCCGAAUGGGUUGUAAGUUCCUCAGAAGGACAACUUUACCCACGAAUGAAGAACGAGGAAUAAGGUGUAGAGCCAAAGCAAUAAUGAAUGUGAGCGGUUGCAAGCGCAUAUUUUAUGCAGCUUACUGCAGAAGUGUCUGAUCUGGUUACAGGCAAAUAGACCUAUAAACUGGCA